GGCUCAGGAUGAACGCUGGCGGCGUGCCUAAUACAUGCAAGUCGAACGAGGUAGCAAUACCGAGUGGCGAACGGGUGAGUAACACGUAGGUAACCUGCCCUUAAGCUUGGGAUACCCAGAGGAAACUUGGCUAAUACCGGAUAACAACAGAGAAGGCAUCUUCUUUGCUUGAAAGGCCCCUUCAAGGGUCACUUAAGGAUGGACCUGCGGCGCAUUAGCUAGUUGGUGAGAUAACAGCCCACCAAGGCGAGGAUGCGUAGCCGAACUGAGAGGUUGAUCGGCCACAUUGGAACUGAGACACGGUCCAAACUCCUACGGGAGGCAGCAGUAAGGAGUUUUCGGCAAUGGGGGAAACCCUGACCGAGCAACGCCGCGUGAGCGAUGACGGCCCUAUGGGUUGUAAAAAGCUCUGUUGUAAGCCAUGAAUGACAGCUUGAGGAAAUGCAAGUUGUUUGACGACAGCUUACCAGAAAGCCACGGCUAACUACGUGCCAGCAGCUGC
rnacentral:rRNA from 1 species